rnacentral:misc_RNA from 1 species
AACGCAUAUGGCGCGCCCCUGUGGCGCAUGCUUGUUUCAGUGUGAAUUCCUCUCACAUUAGGCUCCGCCUUUUUGUGGUAUAUGAGCCCCACGGCGCCCUCUGUGCGCCGCGUGGCUUGAAGUGCGGUCAGAGACCCUGGUGCAGUGGCUUAACCCUUUCACAAAGGGGAGCAGUGCAGCGCGGUGUGGUAGGUUCCCCUCGUGGGAUACUAUAAACCCCCGUGACCUGUCCUUGCUCCUACACCAACUUUGUGAAGCUAUAGGUUUUUGCUGUCUCCCGAUCGUGGUUUGUCUGAAGGGCUGUGAUAUCUAUCGCGCCUUGACGCGGGGCCCUUGCGGGCCCCAACCCCCCUUCUAUUUUUACCUGAAAUCAAGUAAGAGAACCCGCUGAAUUUAA